GCUCCCGAAGCUGCCCCAUCUCCGCCUGCUCUUCCUGCCCGCUGUGUAGCUGUACCUCAGCUGCGGAGGGGGAGUGGCGUGAGCAGAGGGGCCGCCAGCUCGGACCCGCCUGAGGCUCUGUUCCCUCAGUUUCUUCCCGGACCAGUGCUUCUCCUUUCCAACUUCUCAGAUUCCUCUUCUCCCACACCCACCUCCCACAGUGCAUCUUCCCGACUCUGGUUCUUCUCUGAGAACCGAGAUUCUGCUCGCCCUCACAGUAUCUUUGUGUCAACUAACAAGGAUUUUUCUCUGCCAUCUUUUAGAA
rnacentral:lncRNA from 1 species